rnacentral:rRNA from 1 species
ACGGAGGGGACUAGCGUUGUUCGGAAUUACUGGGCGUAAAGCGUACGUAGGCGGAUUGGAAAGUAUGGGGUGAAAUCCCAGGGCUCAACCCUGGAACUGCCUCAUAAACUAUCAGUCUAGAGUUCGAGAGAGGUGAGUGGAAUUCCGAGUGUAGAGGUGAAAUUCGUAGAUAUUCGGAGGAACACCAGUGGCGAAGGCGGCUCACUGGCUCGAUACUGACGCUGAGGUACGAAAGUGUGGGGAGCAAACAGG